GAUCCUGGCUCAGGACGAACGCUGGCGGCGCGCCUAACACAUGCAAGUCGAACGGAGCUACUUUGAUAGAUCUCUUCGGAGUGACAUUGAUUUAGCUUAGUGGCGAACGGGUGAGUAACACGUGAGGAACCUGCCUUUCAGAGGGGGACAACAGUUGGAAACGACUGCUAAUACCGCAUAAGACCACGAUACGGCAUCGUAUUGAGGUCAAAGGAGCAAUCCGCUGAAAGAUGG
rnacentral:rRNA from 1 species